CCUUCGAUAGCUCAGUUGGUAGAGCGGAGGACUGUAGUGGAAAUCCUGUGGCAAUCCUUAGGUCGCUGGUUCGAUUCCGGCUCGAAGGA
rnacentral:tRNA from 2 species